rnacentral:rRNA from 1 species
UGCCAGCCGCCGCGGUAAUACGUAGGGUGCAAGCGUUAAUCGGAAUUACUAGGCGUAAAGCGUGCGCAGGCGGCUUUUUAAGACAGGUGUGAAAUCCCCGGGCUUAACCUGGGAAUUGCAUUCGAUACUGUCGAGCUAGAAUGUGGAAGAGGGAAGUGGAAUUCCAGGUGUAGCGGUGAAAUGCGUAGAUAUCUGGAGGAACAUCAGUGGCGAAGGCGGCUUCCUGGUCCAACAUUGACGCUGAGGUGCGAAAGCGUGGGGAGCAAACAGGAUUAGAUA